UACGAAGGGUGCGAGCGUUGUUCGGAAUCACUGGGCAUAAAGGGCAUGUAGGUGGUUAUACAAGUUAGAAAAGAAAGAUCUGGGCUUAACCUGGAGAACUUUUUUAAUACUGUAUGACUAGAGGCAUUUAGGGGAUGAUGGAAUUAUGCGAGUAGAGGUGGAAUUCAUAGAUACGCAUAAGAACACCUGUGGCGAAGGCGAUCAUCUGGAAAUGUUCUGACACUGAGGUGCGAAGGUGUGGGGAGCAAAC
rnacentral:rRNA from 1 species